AAAACAUCGCCUCCUGCAACACAUUAAAUAUAGGAGGUCCAACCUGCCCAGUGACUACAAGUUUAACGGCCGCGGUAUUUUGACCGUGCAAAGGUAGCGCAAUCACUUGUCUUUUAAAUAGAGACCUGUAUGAAUGGCCAAACGAAGGCUUAACUGUCUCCCCUUUCAAGUCAGUGAAAUUGAUUUACCCGUGCAGAAGCGGGUAUAAUAAUACAAGACGAGAAGACCCUUUGGAGCUUAAGGUACAAAAUUUAACCACGUUAAGCAACUUAAUAAUUAAAGCAAUAAACCUUGUGGAAUAUAAAACAUUACCUUCGGUUGGGGCGACCACGGAGUAAAACAAAACCUCCAUAGUGGACUGGGAUAAUUUCCUAAAACCAAGAGAGACAUCUCUAAGCCACAGAACAUCUGACCAAAAAUGAUCCGGACACCAAGACCGAUCAACGAACCAAGUUACCCUAGGGAUAACAGCGCAAUCCUCUCCCAGAGUCCAUAUCGACGAGGGGGUUUACGACCUCGAUGUUGGAUCAGGACACCCUAAUGGUGCAGCCGCUAUUAAGGGUUCGUUUGUUCAACGAUUAAAGUCCUACGUGA
rnacentral:rRNA from 1 species